GACGAACGCUGGCGGCGUGCUUAACACAUGCAAGUCGAACGGAAAGGCCCUGCUUUUGUGGGGUGCUCGAGUGGCGAACGGGUGAGUAACACGUGAGUAACCUGCCCUUGACUUUGGGAUAACUUCAGGAAACUGGGGCUAAUACCGGAUAGGAGCUCCUGCUGCAUGGUGGGGGUUGGAAAGUUUCGGCGGUUGGGGAUGGACUCGCGGCUUAUCAGCUUGUUGGUGGGGUAGUGGCUUACCAAGGCUUUGACGGGUAGCCGGCCUGAGAGGGUGACCGGCCACAUUGGGACUGCGAUACGGCCCAGACUCCUACGGGAGGCAGCAGUGGGGAAUAUUGCACAAUGGGCGGGAGCCUGAUGCAGCGACGCCGCGUGCGGGAUGACGGCCUUCGGGUUGUAAACCGCUUUCGCCUGUGACGAAGCGUGAGUGACGGUAAUGGGUAAAGAAGCACCGGCUAACUACGUG
rnacentral:rRNA from 1 species